rnacentral:rRNA from 1 species
UACGUAGGCAGCAAGCGUUGUUCGGAAUUACUGGGCGUAAAGAGCGCGCAGGCGGUCGUUUAAGUCGAAUGUGAAAGCCCCCGGCUCAACUGGGGAGGGUCAUUCGAUACUGAUCGACUUGAAGGCAGGAGAGAGAAGUGGAAUUCCCGGUGUAGUGGUGAAAUGCGUAGAUAUCGGGAGGAACACCAGUGGCGAAGGCGACUUCUUGGCCUGUUCUUGACGCUGAGGCGCGAAAGCUGGGGGAGCAAACGGG